rnacentral:rRNA from 1 species
UACAGAGGUCUCAAGCGUUGUUCGGAUUCAUUGGGCGUAAAGGGUGCGUAGGUGGCGUUGUAAGUCAGGUGUGAAAUCUCGGAGCUCAACUCCGAAACUGCACUUGAUACUGCAAUGCUCGAGUACUGGAGAGGAGAUUGGAAUUUACGGUGUAGCAGUGAAAUGCGUAGAUAUCGUAAGGAAGACCAGUGGCGAAGGCGAAUCUUCUGGACAGUUACUGACACUGAGGCACGAAGGCCAGGGGAGCAAACGGG